rnacentral:rRNA from 1 species
AGUGAACGCUGGCGGUAGGCCUAACACAUGCAAGUCGAACGGCAGCACAGUAAUAGCUUGCUCUUACGGGUGGCGAGUGGCGGACGGGUGAGGAAUACAUCGGAAUCUACUUUUUCGUGGGGGAUAACGUAGGGAAACUUACGCUAAUACCGCAUACGACCUACGGGUGAAAGCAGGGGAUCUUCGGACCUUGCGCGAUUGAAUGAGCCGAUGUCGGAUUAGCUAGUUGGCGGGGUAAGGGCCCACCAAGGCGACGAUCCGUAGCUGGUCUGAGAGGAUGAUCAGCCACACUGGAACUGAGACACGGUCCAGACUCCUACGGGAGGCAGCAGUGGGGAAUAUUGGACAAUGGGCGCAAGCCUGAUCCAGCCAUACCGCGUGGGUGAAGAAGGCCUUCGGGUUGUAAAGCCCUUUUGUUGGGAAAGAAAAGCAGCAGGUUAAUACCCCGCUGUUCUGACGGUACCCAAAGAAUAAGCACCGGCUAACUUCGUG